GCCAGCAGCCGCGGUAAUACGGAGGGUGCAAGCGUUGUCCGGAAUCAUUGGGCGUAAAGGGCGCGUAGGUGGCCCGGUCAGUCUUUGGUGAAAGCGCGGGGCUCAACCCUGCGUCGGCCAGGGAUACUGCCGCGGCUCGAGCACUGUAGAGGCAGGCGGAAUUCCGGGUGUAGCGGUGGAAUGCGUAGAGAUCCGGAAGAACACCGGUGGCGAAGGCGGCCUGCUGGGCAGUAUAGCUGACACUGAGGCGCGACAGCGUGGGGAGCAAACAGGAUUAGAUACCCUGGUAGUCCACGCCGUAAACGAUGGGCACUAGGCGCUUGGGGGAGCGACCCCCCGAGGGCCGGCGCUAACGCAUUAAGUGCCCCGCCUGGGGAGUACGGCCGCAAGGCUGAAACUCAAAGGAAUUGACGGGGGCCCGCACAAG
rnacentral:rRNA from 1 species